CCGGCGCUCACACCAAAGAAGUUGGAUGCACUGAAAGGUGCCUACCUACAACGCUUGGAAGCCAGGGGCGAGACUGCAGAGGCCAUUGGCAAAAAAAUGUCCAAAGUUCGAGCGACGUUAAAUGACAAAUUAAAGUCUCUGAAGAAGCCCUA